rnacentral:rRNA from 1 species
AAACAGUUAUAGUUUAUUUGAUAUAUUAAAUGGAUAACUGUAGAAAAACUAGAGCUAAUACAUGCCGAAGCCGCAAGGUUGUAUUUAUUAGAUAUUCCAAUUAGGUGAAUCAUGAUAACUUUGCAAAUCUCGGUUUUGCCGAGAUAAAUCAUCCAAGUUUCUGCCCUAUCAUGCUUUCGAUGGUAGUGUAUUGGACUACCAUGGCUUUCACGGGUAACAGGGAAUUAGGGUCGAUUUCUGAGAAGGAGCCUGAGAAACGGCUACUACAUCUACGGAAGGCAGCAGGCGCGUAAAUUACCCAAUCCUGACUCAGGGAGGUGGUGACAAGAUAUAACAACGCAAUUUAAUUGUGAUUGUAGUGAGGGUUUUCCAAACCGAACCACUAGUACGAUUAGAGGGCAAGUCUGGUGCCAGCAGCCGCGGUAAUUCCAGCUCUAAUAGCGUAUAUUAAAGUUGCUGCAGUUAAAAGCUCGUAGUUGGAUUUCAGGAUUGUGUACUCUCUCAGAGUAUGCACCCUACUAGUCUUUGACUGUACUGGUGGAGAAAU